rnacentral:rRNA from 1 species
CACAUGCAAGUCGAACGAACAAUUCCUAAAUAGUCUCUGACUAUUUAGAUAGUUGUUAGUGGCAGACGGGUGAGUAAUGCGUAGGAAUCUACCUAGUAGUAUGGAAUAGCCAUUAGAAAUGAUGGGUAAUACUGUAUAAUCCCUGCGGGGGAAAGAUUUAUCGCUAUUAGAUGAGCCUACGUUAGAUUAGCUAGUUGGUAAGGUAAUGGCUUACCAAGGCUAUGAUCUAUAGCUGGUCUGAGAGGACGAUCAGCCACACUGGAACUGAGAUACGGUCCAGACUCCUACGGGAGGCAGCAGUGGGGAAUAUUGGACAAUGGGCGAAAGCCUGAUCCAGCUAUGCCGCGUGAGUGAAGAAGGCCUUCGGGUUGUAAAGCUCUUUCAAUAGGGAAGAUAAUGACGGUACCUAUAGAAGAAGUCCCGGCAAACUCUGUGCCAGCAGCC